rnacentral:rRNA from 1 species
GACGAACGCUGGCGGCGUGCCUAAUACAUGCAAGUAGAACGCACAGUUUAUACCGUAGCUUGCUACACCAUAGACUGUGAGUUGCGAACGGGUGAGUAACGCGUAGGUAACCUGCCUGGUAGCGGGGGAUAACUAUUGGAAACGAUAGCUAAUACCGCAUAAUAUUGAUUAUUGCAUGAUAAUUGAUUGAAAGAUGCUAUUGCAUCACUACCAGGUGGACCUGCGUUGUAUUAGCUAGUAGGUGAGGUAACGGCUCACCUAGGCGACGAUACAUAGCCGACCUGAGAGGGUGAUCGGCCACACUGGGACUGAGACACGGCCCAGACUCCUACGGGAGGCAGCAGUAGGGAAUCUUCGGCAAUGGACGAAAGUCUGACCGAGCAACGCCGCGUGAGUGAAGAAGGGUUUCGGAUCGUAAAGCUCUGUUGUAAGAGAAGAACGGGUGUGAGAGUGGAAAGUUCACACUGUGACGGUAUCUUACCAGAAAGGGACGGCUAACUACGUG